AGUGAACGCUGGCGGUAGGCCUAACACAUGCAAGUCGAACGGCAGCACAGUAAGAGCUUGCUCUUACGGGUGGCGAGUGGCGGACGGGUGAGGAAUACAUCGGAAUCUACUUUUUCGUGGGGGAUAACGUAGGGAAACUUACGCUAAUACCGCAUACGACCUACGGGUGAAAGCAGGGGAUCUUCGGGCCUUGCGCGAUUGAAUGAGCCGAUGUCGGAUUAGCUAGUUGGCGGGGUAAAGGCCCACCAAGGCGACGAUCCGUAGCUGGUCUGAGGGGAUGAUCAGCCACACUGGAACUGAGACACGGUCCAGACUCCUACGGGAGGCAGCAGUGGGGAAUAUUGGACAAAGGGCGCAAGCCUGAUCCAGCCAUACCGCGUGGGUGAAGAAGGCCUUCGGGUUGUAAAGCCCUUUUGUUGGGAAAGAAAAGCAGCAGGUUAAUACCCCGCUGUUCUGACGGUACCCAAAGAAUAAGCACCGGCUAACUUCGUA
rnacentral:rRNA from 1 species